AUGAACGCUGGCGGCGUGCCUAAUACAUGCCAGUCGCGCGAACAGACGAGGAGCUUGCUCCUCUGACGUUAGCGGCGGACGGGUGAGUAACACGUGGAUAACCUACCUAUAAGACUGGGAUAACUUCGGGAAACCGGAGCUAAUACCGGAUAAUAUAUUGAACCGCCUGGUUCAAUAGUGAAAGACGGUUUUGCUGUCACUUAUAGAUGGAUCCGCGCCGCAUUAGCUAGUUGGUAAGGUAACGGCUUACCAAGGCAACGAUGCGUAGCCGACCUGAGAGGGUGAUCGGCCACACUGGAACUGAGACACGGUCCAGACUCCUACGGGAGGCAGCAGUAGGGAAUCUUCCGCAAUGGGCGAAAGCUUGACGGAGCAACGCCGCGUGAGUGAUGAAGGUCUUCGGAUCGUAAAACUCUGUUAUUAGGGAAGAACAAAUGUGUAAGUAACUAUGCACGUCUUGACGGUACCUAAUCAGAAAGCCACGGCUAACUACGUG
rnacentral:rRNA from 1 species